UGAGGCUGGAGCAACUUCCAGCCAGGGAAAGGAAAGAGGCCAUGUGGCUGAAAGUGAGCAAGCAGAGGACACAGCAGGAGAUGAGGGCAGAGGCCCUGGGGAAGCAGAGCAGGUAAUUGGAGUUGAAGUCCAGCAAGAGAUCGCAGAGUCCGAGAGGAGAUCAGCAAGCUGAAAGUGAUGUCAGGAGGAAAGGAGUGUGACUUAACCUGAGAAAGAGCGGUGCCUGACUCCUCUUUCUUCCCUCCAGGACCGCUUCCUCAAUCAACAGUCUUUAGAAGUCAACCUGGAAAGUAGAGAACAAACUGUUUAACCCUUCAAGUGUACACAUUUGUCCCCAAGAUAAUUUCAUUAUAUAUAUGCAAAUAUUCCAAAUUUAAAAUAAAACUCAAAGUCUGAAAUAAUCUAGUCUCAAGUCAGUAAAGGGAUAUUCAACCUAUGUAUGCAUUUCUCUUGCUUUUCUUUCUUUUCUUUUUUGUAGUACUGGAGAUUUAACCCAGGGAUGUUCUUUCACUGAGCUACAUCCCCAGCCCCUUCUAUUUGGAGACAGGGACCUGCUAAGUCACCAGGCUGGACCUGAACUGGUCUCUUGCCUCAGCCUCCAAGUUGCUGGGAUUACAGGGUCUGCUGACAUUCAAGGAUGUGGCCAGAGAAUUUUCUGAGGAGGAGUGGAAGUGCCUGGGCCCUGUUGAGAGGGCUGUGUACAGGGACAUGCUGCCGGAACCUACAGGAACCUAGCCUUCCUGCUUGAGCACUACUUCCCCCAAGGUCGGGGUCUGCUCUGCAAAUAUUUCCAUUUCCCGCUGUGUGCCUCUAGGGGGCCCUGUGUGCCUCUUGGGGGCCCUGUGUGGCUUGACUGAGAAUGAAAUCCUGUGGCCUCUGCAGGGAGAAGCUUCAGCGUGACCUCUGACUUUCAAACAUCUCCUUCCUUCAGGUGAUCCUCCCCCUGCAUGAUCAUGGGCGGUUCCAGAGCUGAAGUAGGCCUAGAGCCUUUCAGAUUUUAAAACAUCCACUGCUCUUAUGGUUUACCUCUGAACUUGUAAAUCAAUAGUUCUUGGAAGAAAGCUAGAUGUCUUCAUUACACUGCUCCCUAAACUUUUGGUGAAAGGUAAUAAGUGACUUUUUCUUGCUCCCCCCCAUCUGCAAUGUCCUCUCCAGCAAGUUGAGCAUGGCUGCAUUCUGGAAAGCAACCGCACAGCAUGUCCCUUUCUUUCAUAAGCAGGAAUCUCUCUUCCUGAUGGGAGUGUUGUCUCUAUGUUGGAACUCUGGACUAUGUAGACCAAGGUGAAAAUCUCAUGAAGCACCCCUCCCCUAGGUGGUUUUCCGUCAAAGGUGAGAGCACAGGUAUGAACUCAGGUGGCAGAGGAAGCUACACCACUCAUAGUGGGCCAGAGAGUCACGCAGACAGGGUAGUGGGAGAACAAAACCCUAUUUCCCAUCUACCUGAAAGCAAUUUUCUCUCCUGCCCUUGUCAGCUGUUCUUCAAAUGGAAGUAUUUAUCCUCCCAGCAGUGCUGCAGCUCAGACAGGGCAGAGUUUCCCUUGUGAUGAACAGCCAGUGGUCAGUUCUCUGCCAGUAGAUGUCAGAGCUGAGGUCUCCACACUCCUGCACCUGGACCUUCCCAUCUUCCGGGUUUCCAGGGCUUGGAAGAGCUCUUCCAGGGUUAGGAAGCCUUGGCUGUUCUUCCUUUGCAUCUGGGGCCCUACAGACUGCACCCAGCUGUCUCAAUUCUGUUGUGGUCCCACAGAUAUUUUUCCAUUCUGCUUUUAAUGUGCUGCUCAGAUGGUAGAAUAGGCCUAGAAUACAGACUCAUGGUGGGAAAAUUAGGCAAGAAGGAGAAUGUGGGAUCCAAGCAAAUUCAAAGGCUAGCAAGCAGACUCCAUGACAACUUGACUUAAGAAUAAUUCUCUUGGGCUUUACGCUCUGUUGUCCAGGCCAACUGGGCUGCCAGUCCUGCUCUGGAGACUCAGUAGAUUAGGGUCCCCAUCCCCACUCUUCUGCUCUUAGGUAUAUUGAAAAGAAAAUACCAAAGGUGUGUCUGACCAAACAUUUGAUAAGAAUAUUAGCAUGAAUGUGAGUACUGGACUUGAUCACUGUCCCAUCAAGAGGCAAAAAUAGAGACAGGGUACUACUGUGAGCAUAAACCUGUGAGCAGAGCUCAGAAAAUGGGCAAAAUGAAGGAGACUUAUCAUAUUUCUUCUGCCCCACAGAGCUGGACUAUAGAACUAUAUGGCUGAAAAUGGGGAUGUUGUUAAGACAAGGGAAAAGGGACUUUUCCCAAGUGUGGGAAUGGGGAUGUGGUGGAGUCUUUAAAAGCAUGGUCUAAUGAGAUGUCCUUAGGGUCCUGGGGAAGCUGCCCUUAGAAGCAGUUCCGGAAGGAUACCUCGGAUAGGGUUUCUGAGCUUUCAAGGAGAAUGAGUCAUAACAAAUCCACCUUGAUCCCUUGAUUGCUCUCAGUCCUGUUUGGCAAUGGAAACUCUCCCUCUGUUCUGAGCUCCUGUAUGCUCCUCCUGCUGUCUGCCAUGAGGCCAUCAUGAGAGCUGAGCUGAGGCCAGCACCAUACCAUCGAAUCUCCAGAACUAUGAGCUAAAUUAACCUCUUUCUUAAUAAAGAUAUCCUUUGAUGAAAAUGUUCUGAUAUAGACCUCGAAUGCCAUUCAGAAAUCAUCAUGGCUGCCAUUCCAGAGUGUAUGGCCCCCAGGUCAGGGCUACAUCCACCUUGAUGUCAGAGCUUGGGACCAAAUCCAAGGAGUUGACCUCUGGGGGCAAACCUCAUCUCAACCAAGAACUAUGGCAUGGAUGCAGCCAAGGCAAAGAGCCCCAACCUGGGCAAUGCCCUAGCAGAAAACUUCCACAGGACUGCCACCCAGAGACCUGCUUUGGGGAACAUUUUGCAAAACCCCAACUGAAAACACUCAGGUGCACAUCAGCAGGAAAUAAUUAAAUCAGUGGUCUGGUAUUCACACAGUAGAGUUCAAUGCUGGAAAAGGAUCCACCCCACAAGCAACAUCUCAGAUAAACUCAGAAUGAUGACAUUUAAAAUGAGUGGACAUAGGAAUUUCUGCUGUCUGAUAUUCAUAGAGAGUACAAAAGAGGCUACAGUGCUGUGUGCUGAUGGAUGGAGGAAUGGUGUGCACUCUCGGGAGAGGGAGAGCAAGGACCAGUAGCCCAACUUGCCCUGUCUUAUAUAAAAGACUCAUACAGAGUUGGGUUCGGUUUUUGAAAUUUUGUUAAGUCCAACAAUGACCUGUGCAUGAAUCUUUAGGUAUUUUACAUCUAUGUUACAAUUCAUUUCACAUGGAAGAAAGGGAAAGGGCUUAAUGUAAUAGUGUCUGCAAAUAUUAAGUUGCUUGACACCAUGAUUAAUCUUUUAAAUAAGGUAUCAAUUCUAGGUUACAAACUAAGAUAUAACAGACAUACAACUCUCAGUGAAAAAGAGUAAAAGAUAGGAUUCUCUUUGAAUUAAUACAAAAGAUAUUAAGAGACAGAAAAACAACAGUGCAAAUAUCAUAAAAAGCAAACAGUAAGUUGAAACUAGUUCCAAAUAGUUCCAUUAUUUUACUCAACAAAUGUAGACUGCCUUUCUAAUAGUGACAAAUACUUUGCUGACAAAAAUUAUUUCUUGAUGGUACCAUGCAUACUCUGACUGGUUGUCAUAUAUACAGAAAUAGAGGCAUGCACACAUGUACGUGAUCACCCAGUAGUAGGUCUGUUCUGACAGAUCCCCGUACUGUGACUGUGCCACCCUUGUGUUUAUGGCUCAGGGAGGUGAGUAACAACCAGGAGACAUGGGACAGGGGCACACACAUCACAUGUUUCUGAGGACACUAGGGGAGGUUCUCCUCUUUAUCCAGGAAAAGCAGACCCUAGUGACACUAGCAUCUCUGCUCAGGAGAAUAAAGGGGCUGAGAGCAGAGACACCUGCAUUGAUUAAGGCAGAGAGGUGCAGCAUCCUCUGACUGGGAGGACCAGAAACACCCCACCAGAGAUGAAUGGUGAAGGAGAGAGUGUAGAGGGACAUGAAGGUGCACACCAGAAGGAGGACGGUUUGGGUAGCUCUGGACUCUGGGGAAGACCUGGGGGAGGGACUCUUGCUGUGGAGGUGCUGGAACCUCUGCUUGUGCCUGUACAGGAUGAGAACCAUGGAGCCACUGGCCUGGGGCAUGAUCCCCAAACAGAGCACAUCAGGGAAGGACAGCAAGGUUAUACUUAGUGCCUCUCUAGUGUUGUCAUGAGCACCACCAGAGCAGUAUCCAAAGUCUCUUUGUGGUAUUAUUACUACCUCUGUCAGUUACCCACAGGAACAAUGAUAUUGACCAGCAGGUGGAGGAUCCAGCACAGGAGCACCGAGGUGCCAGUGUACCUGGGGGCUUUCCCUUGGAGCUCUGCCCACCUGGAGUCCCUGGGGCUGAUGGUGAUGGCCUGGAAGACACUCAAGAGGCAGGUGCUGCUGAAGGACAUACCCCUGCCCACCCUGGGAACAUAGAAAACAAGUUUGCAUCCAAGAUCCCUGAAGAAGUGUCUAAAGCCAAGAGCUGCCAUGGUCUGUGGGACUCCCCUGAAGAGCAGGAAAAGGGAGUUGGCUGCAGUCAGGUGCCUGAUAAUCCAAUCUGUGCAUCUGAACCUACACCCAGAGCAGUAAAGGCAGAGGGAGGAGGAGAGGAGGCAGAAAUUCCCCAGGACUCCAACCACAGUCUGGCUCAAGAAGACCACACCCAGGGUCAGGUCCCCAGAGGCCAUUCUGCCAGUUCCCACAGACGAUGUUGAUCUUCAGAUCCCAGGAUCCUGCACGAGGACAAGAGGUGAGGGCUGCAUUGAAAGGGUCAUCUAAAGUCCAGGGCCUCUGCUUACUACUAGUUCACAAUUAGGAACCUGUACUUUAAGGUGUUUCUAUUACUAAAAGGAUUCCAUCAUUAAAACAUCUGUUUAAUAUAUUAAAAUGUGUUAAAAACAUUGUAGCAUGUAUAAUGGCAUAAUUUGGCAUGAACAUUCUUUAUAUGCAGAGUUACA